rnacentral:lncRNA from 1 species
AAUAAAGCUUAAAAAAUGUACUUGAAAAGCAGUUAGAGAGAGAAGGAGAGAGACUGAGAGAGAUCUUCCCUCCAAUGGUUCACUCCCUGAAUGGCCACAAUGGCCCAGGCUGGGCCAGGUCAAAGCCAGGAGCUUCUUCCAGGUCUCACACAUGGGUGCAGGGGCCCAAACACUUGAGCCAUCUUCUACUGCUUUCCCAGGCCAUAGCAGAGAGCUGAAUCGGAAGUGGAGCGGCCGAGACUUGAACCGGCACCCGUGUGGGAUGCUUGCAUUGUUGGCAGUGGCUUAACUCGCAGGAAAAUCUUGAAGACAGCUCUCAGCCUAGCAGGGAAGGCACUGGGUCCCAAAUCAGAGCGCACACACAGCUCAGACUCCAGACUCCAGCUUCCUGCUAAUGCGGACCUGGGAAGCAGCAGUGGUGGCUGAAGUCCUUGGGCUCCUGCCCACUGUGGGGGAGAUCCAGACUGAGCUCCUGGCUCCUGGCUCCAGCCCCAGCUACGGUGGGCAUUGGGAUGGGGUGGGGGACGUAGAAGGGAGAACUGGUGCUCUUCUGCUUCUCACAUAAGUAAUUAAAACUUUUCCCUUUUUAAAGAAAAGUUACUCUCUAGGGGUCUGAGGUGCUGCCUCAUGAGACCAUGCCGGGGAAGAAAUGGAGUCUCCGCCAACAUGCGCUCAGCGCUCAGCUGAUCCCAGGACGUGGCUGAACACCCCCUUCUCACACACCUGACUCACCUGCCGCAGCCGUCUAUAACCUGGUGUUUGCACUCCACACUGUGCUCCUGCUGAGACAAGAAUCUAAGCGUUCACGGGUCGGUAAAGCCCAGGAUGACCGCAAGGGGGCGGGGCAGAGUCCGGCGGGGACACACCAGGGAGAGCGGGCAGCACUAGGGCCUGGGCUCCAGGUCCUGACGGCUUCUGAACCCCCACCCACCUCACCCCGUGAAGGGGGACCCCGGAACAAAGGCGGCCCACGAGCAGAGCCUCCCCUUGGGCACAUGGGACCCUGUCUGCCGCACUCAGUACCUGUCUGUGGCUUCUCUGAUCUUGGGACAAAAGCUGGGGCAGAGACCAACACUGUGGCGCGGUGGGCUGUCUCCACCUGCAGCACCGCCAUCCCAUAUGGGCACCGGUUCGAGUCCUGGCUACUCCACUUCUGAUCUAGCUCUCUGCUGUGGCCUGGAGAAGCAGUGGAAGAUGGCCCAAGUCCUUGGGCCCCUGCACCCAUAAAGAAGAAGGUACCGGCUCCUGGCUUUGGAUCAGCACAGCUCCAGCUGUUGUGGCCAUCUGGGGAGUGAACCAGUGGAUGGAAGACUCUCUCUCUCUCUCUCCCUCUCUCUCUCUCUCUCUCUCUCUCUCCUCUCUCUGCCUCUCUUUCUCUCUGUCUGUAACUCAGACUUUCAAACAAAUAAAUAAAUCUUUAAAAACA